GAUGAAGAACGUAGCAAAAUGCGAUAAGUAAUGCGAAUUGCAGAAUUUCCGUGAGUCAUCGAAUCUUUGAACGCACAUUGCGCCCACUGGUAUUCCGGUGGGCAUGCCUGUUCGAGCGUCAUUAUCCUCCCUCAAACCCCGGGUUUGGUGUUGGACCCAAGUUGUGUGAACAACUGGUCUUAAAGACAAUGACGGCGUCCGUGGGACCCUCGGUGCAACGAGCUUUUAGGAGCACGCAUCGAGUUGCAAGGACCUUCCGGGCCGGUCUCCUUUACUAUUUUACAAGGUUGACCUCGGAUCAGGUAGGAAUACCCGCUGAACUUAAGCAUAUCAAUAAGCGGAGGA
rnacentral:misc_RNA from 1 species